UUUAUACGGAAAUUCGGUUUUUUUACCCCUCCGCCAAAGUAAUCGGAAUCGUGCCAGCGUUUUUCCCUCACACUUCUGUACUUAGCAUACGGAAGUGCUGGAGACAUGUGAGGCUAUUUGGGAAAUGCUUUCACCAAUUUAUCUGAGUGAACCCACGAAACAACAGUAUAAAGACAUCACGACCGACUUUGCGCAAAUGUGGAACAUGCCAAACUAUGUAGGUGCGAUAGACGGAAAACAUAUUGCGAUAAAAUGCCCUCCAAAUUCAGGAUCCGUGUAUUAUAUUAUAAAUAGUUUUUCAGCAUUGUACUGUUGGCAGCAUGUGAUGCUAAAUACACUUUUACAGCCAUUAACGUAGGAGCUUACGGAAGACAGAGUGAUGGAGGUAUUUUUCAUGCAACGAGAUAUCACCUGAUAUUCCACUUCCGUUAUCUUCCCAUCCGUUUCCGCAUUAUUUUGUUGGAGACUGUGCCUUUCCGUUAAAAAAUAAUCUUAUGAAGCCGUAUCCAGGUGUAAAUACAACACGAGCUCAACGAAUUUCUAAUUAUAGACUAUCACGGUCAAGACGCGUUAUUGAAAAUACGUUUGGGAAUUUGACAGCGAGGGGCUAAGUGCUAAGAACAACCAUGGAGUUUCAUCCUGAAAAUGCUGAAAAAAUCGCACGAGCAUGUUUAGUGCUUCAUAAUUUCAUAAUGCUCCACGAUAUGAAUCGAUGGUACUGCUCAGAGCAUUACACUGACGGAGAUGGAAGAAAUUCUGAAUGGAGAAAUGAAUUAAGAUCUUGUGGGGACCAUUGUGGUCAGCACAAACUUUUAAACGCAGGGGUCAAAACAGUGCGUAUAACCACAGAGAACACCUCACCAAUUAUUUUAUGAACAACGGUGUAGUACCUUUUCAAAACCAUAUAGAGUAAAACACUUAUAAACAUACAUAUUAAAUUCAAUAAAAAAUGUUGAAAAUGUAAA